AAUAGAUGACGCCGUUGACUUUUUCUCAUAUGUUUAACCAUUCGUCUUAUUUAAAAAAUUUACGUAAUUAUAAUUUAUUUUCUUAUGAGUUGUUUUAUCACUCAUAGUACUUUAAGUGUGAUUUAUAUAUUAUACAUUUGCAUAAAAUUUUUUAAUAAGACGAAUGGUCAAACAUGUGAGAAAAACUCGGCGUCAUCUAUU
rnacentral:pre_miRNA from 1 species